GACGAACGCGGCGGCGUGCCUAAUACAUGCAAGUCGAGCGGAGUUGAAAAAAAGUUUACUUUUUUUCUUCUCAGCGGCGGACGGGUGAGUAACACGUGGGCAACCUGCCCUGUAGACUGGGAUAACUUCGGGAAACCGAAGCUAAUACCGGAUAAUCAUAGAAGUUGCAUAGCUUCUAUGUAAAAGUUGGGUUUACCUAACACUACAGGAUGGGCCCGCGUCGCAUUAGCUAGUUGGUAAGGUAACGGCUUACCAAGGCGACGAUGCGUAGCCGACCUGAGAGGGUGAUCGGCCACACUGGGACUGAGACACGGCCCAGACUCCUACGGGAGGCAGCAGUAGGGAAUCUUCCGCAAUGGACGAAAGUCUGACGGAGCAACGCCGCGUGAGCGAUGAAGGCCUUCGGGUCGUAAAGCUCUGUUGUUAGGGAAGAACAAGUGCUAUUCGAAUAGGGUGGCACCUUGACGGUACCUAAACGA
rnacentral:rRNA from 1 species